CGUGGUGGAGAUCGUGAUAGGCUAAGCAGCAAGCAGGUGUGACAGCAAGACCUGGAAGCGGAUCAGUAAUGAGCCAAGAUUUCAAAAAAUGUUUAGUAUGUUGGCCACAUAAAUAAAUUCAAAAUUCCACCAAAAAAGGAGGGCAUAGCUUUCCUCUUCCUUGGAAUUUUGUAUCCUGUUCUGGGGAAAAUGGCAAGCUGAAAUUAAUCCACAGGAGAGCUAUCAUGAUCGUGGGGUGUGAGAACCACGAAAGAUGUCUGAACACCUGCAACCGAUGAAAACCCAAAACUAAGAUUCGGAGAGACCUGUAAGCAGUGGUCACAUAUUUGAAGUGCUGACCUGGAAAGAAAGGAUUACACUUUUUAUUGCAUGCAAUUCUGGAGGGCAGAGAAAGGACCAAUGCGUAUAAAUUACAAAGAGACCCCUGAGAACUCCAUAUCGUGGUGUUCAGUGAUUGUGUAAAGUCCAAUCACCAAACUCUUCCAGGAGAGAAUGUGACUCAGUGCUAUCCCAGUAUGUAAUGAAGCUUCACGAAACUGGGUCAAGAGCAUUUAAAGUAAGUGUCAAGGAUCAUAUUUACAGGCUCAGAAGAAUCACAAAGACCAUGUGCAACAUACCUAUAGUUGGAUCAAAAUAGAAGAGUAAUGGCUUGUGAGGAAGUAAGUCACUUCUUGUGGAGGUUAUCCUAAUGCAAGGAAUAAAAAAGAAAGCAAUCGAUCUGGGAUCUGGCCUUUGGUUUUCUGAUUUAGGGUUCAGGGGUAGAAGUAAGAAAACCUGCAUUCUGUUCCUGUACUUGGUACUCACUUCCCCAGGGUCUUUUAGGGAUACAAAUAAUGAAACAGCAGGAGAUUGUAAGCAAGAAGACACAAACUUCCUUCUAAAACAUUGGACAAGAUUGGGAUGUUCUACAAACUAACAGAGAGUGAAAUUCAGGAAACAUGAUAUUGGCAAACAAAAAUCUUUAUGCAAACUCAAUAUCAAAAAAUCUAGCUACCUAUAAUUUGCCUCAAAAAUGCCUGAAGUGAAAUGUAGGAACUAUAAACAAGACUGAUGAAAAAUAAAUUGUAGAAUUUGCAGGUGCUGGUCUAGGUGCAAUCAGACCUCAAACACAUUCAGAUUUAAUAUCAAAUUUCUUGAUGCAAAAUAUUCCCCAAGGGAAGAUGAGAAAACCUUAGUAUAUUAAAAUAAAAAAUAUUGUCUUUAUUAUAAGGGCAAAUGAUACUUGCACAUAUAGAAUCUUAUUGGAAGUUAUUAUUUUCCCCAAAUAUCAGGGUUUCUAACGCCUGUCUCAGGGUAAUGAUUUUGCUCUCAUUUCUAAAGUUUACCAAACACAUUACAAAUUAUCUUGAAUGGGCUGUAGUGUGGGAAGAUGAAGGCAAGAUACUAUUAUUUUUUUCAGGUAUUGACCAAGAAAUAGACAAAGAUAUGUUGAGUGAUAUUUUCAAGAUCAUAUGUUAGACUUUUACUUCUAGCUAAGAUAAAGUAGUUUGCACUAGACCAAUUAUUCUGGGAAGAACAAAUAGAAAACUCAGAUAAAAUGUAAAGAAAAACAGCAAUAACAACAGCUGUCUGACUGAAGGCAUUGGAAAAUGACUGAAGCAACCAGGAAUUGAAGGGCCAAGAUCAAGCAGAGUCAAGAAAAGGGAACCACAGAGAGCUGAGAUGAUGUUCUUCAAACAGCUUUUCCCCUCAAGGCAAUUGCUAGUUUUUGGCUUGGAAUUAGAGGCUAACAAUCUACCCAGAGAGCUGUGGCUGAUAAGCAGAGAAACAAAGUUUCUGGAAAUCUCACAAGGGUGCAGACAAAAAAGGGGGAAAAAAAUUGAGAGCAAAGGGGAGAUUGGGAGAUUGAUUGGCCAAAGUAUCCAAAACUUGAAGUAACAGAAUCCUGAAGAGAAGGAAAGCAUGGAGAAGCACAUUAGAUACCUCAUUUGCUCCCAUAUUUAGCAUAUGCUAAAUCCUUAAACUGCUAAGGACAAGAAGCGAGGCAGGAAAUCACAGAAAAUCAGAGGAGUUUUGGCCUACUCACAGAGUUGAAGAGACAAAAAUAGGAGAAUACAACCUGACAAGGAGAAGCCCAAGUCAAUACUCUAUGCUCAGGAGAGACUCCUGGGAGCCAUACCACGGUUGAGGAGCUAACCAGAAGUAUAUGUAACUUUCCAGACUUCAACGCAGCCUCAAAUGUGUUCAGUUGCUAACUGAAUCAAAGUGAUCAACUUCUUCCCUGAAUACAUAUGAAAAGAGAGGGUAAGCCCCCUCAAAGGAAGAGAGUGCCUCCACAGUCUUUCAUAUAGAAUAUAUAGCAUUCAAUCAAAAAUUAUGGUCCUAUCAAGAAAAAGAACCAAGAGGAAAAAAACAGGUAAUAUAAACAGACCCACAAAUACUACUGUUAUUAAAGUUAUUAUACUUGAACGUUUAAGGAUAUGAUUAAUGUGACAAAUUAAGAAAAUAUAACUCAAAUAUAGUCCAACAUGAAUAUAUUAUUGAUAAAACAUAAGUUAAAGAUGGAAAAUUUUUACUUCUCUGGUUUUCUACUGGUAUUUUAGAAAGAAUUAAAUGAAAAUUAUGGAGUAGAAAAAUAAAAUACUUGAAAUUAAAUACCCAACACAUAAACUGCAAUUUAACAGCAGUUGGGACUCAGCAGCUAUGUGGAUUGGUGAAGGAAAAUAGGGAAGUAGAAAAUCAACUUCCAUCUUUCUGUAUGGAAAAUACAGAAAGAAAUAUGUGAUAGAUAAUCUUAUGGGUAAAAAUGGCCAGGCCAUCCCGCCCAGAUAUUUGAUCAAGCAUUAUUCUGGAUGUUUAUAAGAGGGUGGUUUUUUGUA